rnacentral:sRNA from 1 species
GGGUUGGCGAAAGUAUAUCAUUAAUCGGCUGACCAAAACCGAUGGACUCACCUG